GCUGUGGGCGUAGCAUGUGGUGUUUAGGUUUAUUGCUUUCGUAUGCUGCUUCGUUCCAAGUCCAAACUUGAAUAUGGCAUUUGUAUGGCCCAGAGAGGGUGAAAGGCCCAUGUGGACGGAGUGGUGUUCGACUGCGUAGACCGUGGAGUCGGGUUGUUUGAGAAUGCAGCCCAAAGUUGGUGGUAAACUCCAUCUAAGGCUAAAUACUGGCACGAGUCCGAUAGCGAACAAGUACCGUGAGGGAAAGUUGAAAAGUACUCUGAAGAGAGAGUAAACAGUGCGUGAAACCGAUUAGAGGCAAACGGGUGUAGUCAAGCUGCAAGUCGUGGGAAAUUGGCGGAUCAGAAUGGCGUGAGCUUGAGCAUAUUUGAUCUGGUUUUAAGUGCGUCUGGUAAGGCGUGUUCGGCUCGCAAGGGUCGGAUGUGUGGAAUGUAAUACUAUGCUCCAUGCCUAAAAAUGGUUUGUUCAGAUGGU
rnacentral:rRNA from 1 species